UACGUAGGGUGCGAGCGUUGUCCGGAAUUAUUGGGCGUAAAGAGCUUGUAGGCGGUUUGUCGCGUCUGCCGUGAAAAUUCGAGGCUCAACCUCGAACUUGCGGUGGGUACGGGCAGACUAGAGUGUGGUAGGGGAGACUGGAAUUCCUGGUGUAGCGGUGAAAUGCGCAGAUAUCAGGAGGAACACCGAUGGCGAAGGCAGGUCUCUGGGCCACUACUGACGCUGAGAAGCGAAAGCAUGGGGGAGCGAAACAGG
rnacentral:rRNA from 1 species